rnacentral:rRNA from 1 species
GGAAUCUUGGACAAUGGGCGCAAGCCUGAUCCAGCCAUGCCGCGUGGAUGAUGAAGGCCUUAGGGUUGUAAAAUCCUUUCGUCGGGGACGAUAAUGACGGUACCCGAAGAAGAAGCUCCGGCUAACUUCGUGCCAGCAGCCGCGGUAAUACGAAGGGGGCUAGCGUUGUUCGGAUUUACUGGGCGUAAAGCGCGUGUAGGCGGGCCGUUAAGUCGGGGGUGAAAUCCCAGAGCUCAACUCUGGAACUGCCUCCGGGACUGGCGACCUGGACCCAAGGAGAGGCGAGUGGAAUUCCGAGUGUAGAGGUGAAAUUCGUAGAUAUUCGGAGGAACACCAGUGGCGAAGGCGACUCGCUGGACUUGUGGUGACGCUGAGACGCGAAAGCGUGGGGAGCAAAC